UGUCCAUAUAGACACUGUGUCCCGCGUC
rnacentral:sRNA from 1 species